rnacentral:rRNA from 1 species
UACAGAGGUCUCAAGCGUUGUUCGGAUUCAUUGGGCGUAAAGUGUGCGUAGGCGGCGCGGUAAGUCGGGUGUGAAAUCUCGGGGCUUAACUCCGAAACUGCAUUCGAUACUGCCGUGCUUGAGGACUGGAGAGGAGACUGGAAUUUACGGUGUAGCGGUGAAAUGCGUAGAUAUCGUAAGGAAGACCAGUGGCGAAGGCGGGUCUCUGGACAGUUCCUGACGCUGAGGCACGAAGGCCAGGGGAGCAAACGGG